rnacentral:lncRNA from 1 species
UUUCUUUAUUCAAAAGGACAGCUAGAACUGUAAUUAGGUACAGCUAGUCUUCAUUAUUUAGCUCAUUUAUUAUUUAUUGAUGUCUUUUCCCACAGUGCCUGUGAAUCUCACAUCUCGUGCUGACAGAGACGGGAGUCGGAGUGCUCUGUUUGCUUCCACAUGCUCCAGAAUCAAAGAUGGGCUGCCCAAGCCAUGUGGAGAGUGACUGCUGGGCAAGAGAGGAGCCUGCUGGCAGUGGCAGGAGGCACAGAGAGUGGCACUCAGUGGGCCCUUGCCAUUCAAGCGCUCUAAGAAAGCCACCACCCAAACUGGUGCUGCUGUGGGCCAGACCCACAGCAGACAGUGGGAACAGCAGCACAGUUAGAGUUUCGUAAGUUGAAAGGUCACAGGUAGCUGCUUCUGGAAAGAUAUUUGAGUACUAAACCUUC